ensembl:rRNA 5S_rRNA 5S ribosomal RNA
GCUUGCGGUCAUACCACCUUGAGCACACUUGAUCUCAAAAAGUAAGCAGUAUUGGGGCAGGUUAGUACUUGGAUGGGAAACAGCCUAGGAAUACAAAGGUUAUUCAGGGG